UCACUUUAGAUUUCCAAACCAAUCAUUUAUUGUACAGCCUGUGACUAGGUGUAGUUGCAACUCUGAUGUUCACUGCUGCACUGUAUUUUCAACAGUUGAUACCUCUCAAAUUGUGCAUGUGCCUCUCAAGUACAGGUAUGUGUGCAGAGUCUACUACAAACUUUUAUGUCCCAGCUAUAGACUUAAACAUUUAUGCUAGUGCCUGGAAUAAGUGCUGUUCAUUCUUUUUUAUUUUGCGGCAGCAGCGGCAGUAUCAUGAGUAUAUAUUUUAAGAAAAUUUGACUAGCAGAGAUGCAUGAAAAUGUUUGAUGAUUCAGUUAUGUAUUCCAUAUGUGUAGUCAUUGUGUUGAUGUGUAUUCAAAAUGCACAAGCAGUCCUAAAAUUAGGGUGUCAAGUAUUUUCAUCCUAGUCCACAGCAGAAGUAUGGCGUAUUGUUCUCUCACCCUAGUCUGCACCAAAAAUAUGGCAUAUUUUAGCAUAGUGUAACAUCACAGAGAUCUUUUAUCAGCAGUUGAAGUGGACUGCCAUUUCUCAUAAAAGCACUAAUAAAGUGUUAAUUAAUUCUAGUGUUGGAAGACACAAUCCUCUAAAGAUGAAAUACUAAAAUAGGGAAGCACUAAUAUUUCAGAUGAGUAUCACUUUUGUUCUUUCCCUCUACCUUGCAUCUAUCAAUGUGAACUUGGAGUGGUGCUAUGGUUGUCUGUUGGGCUUUAUCCAAACCCAAAGUCUUAGCAAAAGCAAAUUUAGAACCAGAUUUUCUACAGAAACCCUACAUGGAUUUGAUUAUCUUAUGCUUGAAAAAAAUGAUUACAUAUUAUAGAGAUGUAUGUGAUGAAUAACUAGAAAGUGAAGGGUAUUAGGAUUACUUUAAUUAAGUGAUAUAAAUUACCAAUUGUUAAAGGAACUUAUGGAAGAGAGGUACUUAGGUUUUUGGGUAGAGAACAAAUAUUUAUCAUCAUCAUCAAAAGUUAAUAUACUGCCCUAUCCAGAAAGACUCAGAAUGGCUUACAUAAAUGACAAAUACCUCUUGUCUAUGCAUCUAACUAGAGUUUUUUCUUCUAACUAUGGUCUUUUGGAGGUUUUGAAGAAUUCUCUUAACCCACAGUCCAUUUGCAUUGACUAUGCCUACAAAGGGCUUACACAGGGGCUUGUCUUGGGGAAGACAUCCCACAGUGCCAGAGGUACCUCUUAGACAGAUCUGUUAUGUUUAAAUUAAUGUCUGCCUCAUUUAUUUUUUUCCCCACAUCCCUCGAAGUCAAGCCAAGCCAAGCCAUGUUCCAGGCCAGCCCUGUCCAGUUGCUUUGCUAUUCAUUAUGCUAUGGCAUCAGGACUACUUCCAGAGCUAACCCACUGACUGACAAGUUCCUCCAUCCCCAAUUAUGUGGUGUGCAUGGCCAGAGCUCAACAGUUACUCUGGGGAGCUUGCAGUAGUCUGUGAGGCAACUGGGUAAAAUUCGACAUCACAGCAAGUUGUUCUGUUGCAGAACAGAACUCAUCCCUCUGUGGGACAGACUGCACAAACAUUUGUACAGGAUGGUAAUGCAAAGAACACCUCCUCAGUGGUCCUGUAUUUCACACUGUAUAAGAAAAAUGUGAAGUCUGAAGGAGGCCAGCAUGAAUUAAACUAAAUGUAAAGUGUGA